AGUUGUAUCCUGGCUCAGGAUGAACGCUAGCGGCAGGCUUAACACAUGCAAGUCGAACGGUAACAUUCUCAGCUUGCUGAGAGAUGACGAGUGGCGCACGGAUGCGUAACGCGUAUGCAACCUACCUUGUACAUAGGGAUAGCCCAGAGAAAUUUGGAUUAAUACCUUAUAGUAUGUUAAGAUCGCAUGGUCUAAACAUUAAAGCUUCGGUGGUACAAGAUGGGCAUGCGUGACAUUAGCUAGUUGGUAAGGUAACGGCUUACCAAGGCUACGAUGUCUAGGGGUUCUGAGAGGAUGAUCCCCCACACUGGUACUGAGACACGGACCAGACUCCUACGGGAGGCAGCAGUGAGGAAUAUUGGGCAAUGGAGGCAACUCUGACCCAGCCAUGCCGCGUGCAGGAAGAAUGUUUUAUGAAUUGUAAACUGCUUUUGUAUGGGAAGAAAUGUUUCUACGUGUAGAGAUUUGCCGGUACCAUACGAAUAAGCACCGGCUAACUCCGUGCCAGCAGCCGCGGUAAUACGGAGGGUGCAAGCGUUAUCCGGAUUCAUUGGGUUUAAAGGGUACGUAGGUGGAUUUUUAAGUCAGAGGUGAAAUCCUGCAGCUCAACUGCAGAACUGCCUUUGAUACUGGAAAUCUUGAGUUUAGUUGAAGUGGGCGGAAUAUGACAUGUAGCGGUGAAAUGCAUAGAUAUGUCAUAGAACANCCGAUAGCGAAGGCAGCUCACUAAACUUAGACUGACNCUGAUUGUACGAAAGCCGUGGGGAGCGANCAGGAAUUAGAUACCCUGGUAGUCCCNCNCUUGUAAACCGAUGUUCACCUCNC
rnacentral:rRNA from 1 species